rnacentral:rRNA from 1 species
CAGUCGAGCGGACAGAUGGGAGCUUGCUCCCUGAUGUUAGCGGCGGACGGGUGAGUAACACGUGGGUAACCUGCCUGUAAGACUGGGAUAACUCCGGGAAACCGGGGCUAAUACCGGAUGCUUGUUUGAACCGCAUGGUUCAAACAUAAAAGGUGGCUUCGGCUACCACUUACAGAUGGACCCGCGGCGCAUUAGCUAGUUGGUGAGGUAACGGCUCACCAAGGCAACGAUGCGUAGCCGACCUGAGAGGGUGAUCGGCCACACUGGGACUGAGACACGGCCCAGACUCCUACGGGAGGCAGCAGUAGGGAAUCUUCCGCAAUGGACGAAAGUCUGACGGAGCAACGCCGCGUGAGUGAUGAAGGUUUUCGGAUCGUAAAGCUCUGUUGUUAGGGAAGAACAAGUACCGUUCGAAUAGGGCGGUACCUUGACUGUACCUAAACAGAAAGCCACGGCUAACUACGUGCCAGCAGCCGCGGUAAUACG